rnacentral:rRNA from 1 species
UGGUUUCUCCCUUCUGAAGAACCAUGAUGUCAUUAAUUUGGUGUUGUGGGGAAUCAGGACUGUUACUUUGAAAAAAUUAGAGUGUUUAAAGCAGGCUUAGGCUUGAAUACAUUAGCAUGGAAUAAUGAAAUAGGACGCUUUGAUCCUAUUUCGUUGGUUUCUAGGAUCGACGUAAUGAUUAAUAGGGAUAGUUGGGGGCAUUAGUAUUCAAUUGUCAGAGGUGAAAUUCUUGGAUUUAUUGAAGACUAACUACUGCGAAAGCAUUUGCCAAGGAUGUUUUCAUUAAUCAAGAACGAAAGUUAGGGGAUCGAAGACGAUCAGAUACCGUCGUAGUCUUAACCAUAAACUAUGCCGACUAGGGAUCGGAUGAUGUUAAUUUUUUAAUGACUCAUUCGGCGCCUUACG